AGAGUUUGAUCAUGGCUCAGAUUGAACGCUGGCGGCAGGCCUAACACAUGCAAGUCGAACGGUAACAGGAAGCAGCUUGCUGCUUUGCUGACGAGUGGCGGACGGGUGAGUAAUGUCUGGGAAACUGCCUGAUGGAGGGGGAUAACUACUGGAAACGGUAGCUAAUACCGCAUAACGUCGCAAGACCAAAGAGGGGGACCUUCGGGCCUCUUGCCAUCGGAUGUGCCCAGAUGGGAUUAGCUUGUUGGUGGGGUAACGGCUCACCAAGGCGACGAUCCCUAGCUGGUCUGAGAGGAUGACCAGCCACACUGGAACUGAGACACGGUCCAGACUCCUACGGGAGGCAGCAGUGGGGAAUAUUGCACAAUGGGCGCAAGCCUGAUGCAGCCAUGCCGCGUGUAUGAAGAAGGCCUUCGGGUUGUAAAGUACUUUCAGCGGGGAGGAAGGGAGUAAAGUUAAUACCUUUGCUCAUUGACGUUACCCGCAGAAGAAGCACCGGCUAACUCCGUGCCAGCAGCCGCGGUAAUACGGAGGGUGCAAGCGUUAAUCGGAAUUACUGGGCGUAAAGCGCACGCAGGCGGUUUGUUAAGUCAGAUGUGAAAUCCCCGGGCUCAACCUGGGAACUGCAUCUGAUACUGGCAAGCUUGAGUCUCGUAGAGGGGGGUAGAAUUCCAGGUGUAGCGGUGAAAUGCGUAGAGAUCUGGAGGAAUACCGGUGGCGAAGGCGGCCCCCUGGACGAAGACUGACGCUCAGGUGCGAAAGCGUGGGGAGCAAACAGGAUUAGAUACCCUGGUAGUCCACGCCGUAAACGAUGUCGACUUGGAGGUUGUGCCCUUGAGGCGUGGCUUCCGGAGCUAACGCGUUAAGUCGACCGCCUGGGGAGUACGGCCGCAAGGUUAAAACUCAAAUGAAUUGACGGGGGCCCGCACAAGCGGUGGAGCAUGUGGUUUAAUUCGAUGCAACGCGAAGAACCUUACCUGGUCUUGACAUCCACAGAACUUUCCAGAGAUGGAUUGGUGCCUUCGGGAACUGUGAGACAGGUGCUGCAUGGCUGUCGUCAGCUCGUGUUGUGAAAUGUUGGGUUAAGUCCCGCAACGAGCGCAACCCUUAUCCUUUGUUGCCAGCGGUCCGGCCGGGAACUCAAAGGAGACUGCCAGUGAUAAACUGGAGGAAGGUGGGGAUGACGUCAAGUCAUCAUGGCCCUUACGACCAGGGCUACACACGUGCUACAAUGGCGCAUACAAAGAGAAGCGACCUCGCGAGAGCAAGCGGACCUCAUAAAGUGCGUCGUAGUCCGGAUUGGAGUCUGCAACUCGACUCCAUGAAGUCGGAAUCGCUAGUAAUCGUGGAUCAGAAUGCCACGGUGAAUACGUUCCCGGGCCUUGUACACACCGCCCGUCACACCAUGGGAGUGGGUUGCAAAAGAAGUAGGUAGCUUAACCUUCGGGAGGGCGCUUACCACUUUGUGAUUCAUGACUGGGGUGAAGUCGUAACAAGGUAACCGUAGGGAACCUGCGGUUGGAUCACCU
rnacentral:rRNA from 1 species